rnacentral:rRNA from 1 species
GCAAGUCGAGCGGUAACAGAUGAAGAGCUUGCUCAGAUUGCUGACGACCGGCGCACGGGUGAGUAACGCGUAUAGAAUCUACCUUACACUGAGGGAUAGCCUUUGGAAACGAAGAUUAAUACCUCAUGGUAUCAUUGACUGGCAUCGGUUGAUGAUUAAAGGUUACGGUGUAAGAUGACUAUGCGUCCUAUUAGCUAGAUGGUAAGGUAACGGCUUACCAUGGCAACGAUAGGUAGGGGCCCUGAGAGGGGGAUC